UACGAAGGGGGCUAGCGUUGUUCGGAUUUACUGGGCGUCAAGCGCGCGUAGGCGGAUCGCUAAGUCAGGGGUGAAAUGCCGGGGCUCAACCUCGGAACUGCCUUUGAUACUGCGGGUCUUGAGUCCGAUAGAGGUGGGUGGAAUUCCUAGUGUAGAGGUGAAAUUCGUAGAUAUUAGGAAGAACACCGGUGGCGAAGGCGGCCCACUGGAUCGGUACUGACGCUGAGGUGCGAAAGCGUGGGGAGCAAACAGG
rnacentral:rRNA from 1 species